GCAGGCGAAGCAUUGUGGCGAUGUUCCGGUCUCCAAAACCGGAGAGCAGGGUUCGAUUCCCUGCGCCUGUGCCA
rnacentral:tRNA from 3 species